CUUUCUAGGUUUUUUUUUUUUUUUUUUUUUUUUUUUUUUUUCUAUCACUUUCUCUUUGAUUUUCUAUUCUUUGAUUUCUCUCUACUGGGUUCCUUUCCUUGAUUCCUACACCAUCAAGGCCAUGACUACACUCAAUCAGGUUACAAUCUCAGCGCUGGAGGCGUUUUAACCAAUUUGCAGCAAAGAAUUAUAAGCCACAGGAGAGAGAACCUGAAAGCUAGAGCGAGACAAAACGAAGAAGAAGAAGAAGGAGGAGAAGAAGAAGAAGAAAGAGGAGGAAGAGAUCAUCGGAGCUCCGACGCGACAAGAUUCAAUUCCAAGUUUCUCCGGUAUCAUCUACGGAUUGUAGCAGCAAUGUCGACUGCAUCCAACACCAUUUCCAUACUAUAAUUGUGACAGAUGGAAGUAUAGCAAGUAAGAAGACCAUCACAGCCAUAAUUUUGCCUGCCAUAUUUGUUUGUUUGCAAACAUGUUAGUUCAAACGAGUUGAGCCAAGUCUAGUCGAGCUUUGCAAGGCUUGAGCUUGAAAAUCAAGCUUGAGCUUGGCUCAAAAAUUAUUCCAGCUUGAGCUUGGCUCAGCUUGUUUGCACUAAUCAUGCUUGAGCUUGGCUCAAAGCUUGAUAAUGAAGAAAAAGUUUGGCUCAAUAGUUAAGCUCGGUUGGCUCGUUAAAUAUUACUCUAUAUUAAAUAUGCAUAUAUAACACAUUUUGUAUUAUUUAAAUAAUAAUAAACAGACCAAGCUUUAUAAGCCAAGCUUAUUCUAGCUCGAGCUUAAACAAGUCUAAAAAUCUAGCUCGAGCUCUUUUUAUACGUAGCAAGCCGAGCUUGUGAGCAGCUGGGCUCAUUUGUAGCACUAGUCUUGUCUAAGAAGAGUUGUGCCAUAUGUCCCCAAUUUUUUUUUUUUUUUUU